CUGCUAUCAGAGUUCGAUUAAGCCAUGCGAGUCGAGAGGUGCAAGACCUCGGCAUACUGCUCAGUAACACGUGGACAACCUAACCUACGGAAGGGGAUAACCCCGGGAAACUGGGGAUAAUACCCUAUAGACUAUGGAUGCUGGAAUGCUCUGUAGCCGAAAGGUCAGCCGCCGUAGGAUGGGUCUGCGGCCGAUUAGGUUGUUGUUGGGGUAACGGCCCAACAAGCCUGUAAUCGGUACGGGUUGUGGGAGCAAGAGCCCGGAGAUGGAUUCUGAGACACGAAUCCAGGCCCUACGGGGCGCAGCAGGCGCGAAAACUUUGCAAUGCGGGAAACCGUGACAAGGGAACUCUGAGUGCCCGUAAAAUCGGGCUGUCCAUCGGUUUAAAUAACCGGUGAAGAAAGGGCCGGGCAAGACCGGUGCCAGCCGCCGCGGUAAUACCGGCGGCUCGAGUGGUGGCCACUAUUACUGGGCUUAAAGCGUUCGUAGCUGGUUUGUUAA
rnacentral:rRNA from 1 species